GUGCCCUGUGAUUAUAAAAAGACGCGUUAUUCUGAGGGAGAAAACCCACUGCCGGUUCUCUCUGAAACCUAGUCUUUUUCUUCAUCUCUUUUUCUUCAUUCCUCUCCUCCUUCCCCCCCUUCCCAUUCACCUCUGCUGUGGCGCUGGGUCCGCUGAACGUGAUUAUGAGAGAUGAGGGCAU